UGUUGUUGAUGCAAUUCUUCUAAAUGAACCUGAUUUAUGUACCGAGCUUGAAAAAGAAAUAAUCGACAGAAUAGUCAAAGAUGAAGUGAUGAUCUACAAAAAGACUAAAGCAGAGUUGCGGAAUCAGGAACAGCCGUUUGAUAUGGGGAAAAAGAAGAAAAGGAACAAAAAUGUCCCUGCUGUUGUGUGGUAUCCGACAAGGGUUAUCGAAUUUCUUGGUCGGCGCACACCCAUUAUCCUCAAGGAAAAGGAUACACGGUGCUCCCUAGUAGCAAUAUGCAACGUUCUCCUGCUUGGAGAGAAAAUAACCCUCGAUUUAGAUAUCAAGAAAGUGUUGGAGAGCCAUCUCAUCCAUCUUGUCCAGAGGCCUCUUUUGUGUGGCAAUACACAAAUGCAGUUGGAACAGAACUUGGAACUAUCAGAGUUCAAUAAACAAGUUCUUGGUGUAUUGCCGAAGCUUACAUGCAGCUUAUACUUUGAUGUGACAUUUUCUAGCUCUUGUGGCUUAGAGAAGACCUUUGAAACUGCACUGUUUGGUUUUCUUGGUGUCCCUCUACGCCAUGGCUGGUUGGUAGAUCCCCAGGAUGCUGAGUUGGACUCCUCGAUAUGUGGAAGCUCCUACUCCAAACUUUCGUAUAAUCUUGCUAUCUAUGAAUCAAUUCGACCCCAAGACAAAUUCAGGGCCUCAAAAGCAUGGUCGAUAUGAAGAUGAUAUGUUCUAUACAGCGCUUGCAUUCUCUAAAACUGGAUCAGAAAAAGAACUUGAUUCUACUUCUUGGCCCUCAGCUAACCCGAUAUGGAUUCUCUUCCUUACAUAAUGACCUCAGAGCGUUACAACCUACUGUCCUGAUCUGGAAUGAAAACUUAAUUACAAUAUCUAAGUUUGAAGACAAAAUAUAUGUGUUGCUGAACGAUUUGUCCUUGUUGAGAACUGAAACCGAUGCUGUGUGGGAAAGGUUAACGCAGGAGUGGCACCAAUUGAGGAGAAGCUUAUGCAACAUCGUUUGAGAUGGUUUGGACAUAUCCAACGAAGAUCUGAAGAGGCACCAGUGCAUAUCGGAAUAAUUAGGCGUCCCGAGAAUGUGAAGAGAGGUAGAGGUCGACCAACCUUGACGUGGACAGAGGCUGUGAAGAGGGACCUGAAGGAGUGGAAUAUUGAUAAAGAGCUCGCCGUGGAUAGGAAGGGGUGGAAGUGUGCAAUUCAUGUGCCAGAACCUUGAUUUAUAGUUUCGCUUUUCCUCUUUAAUCGUUUGACCUUUUCUUGUGCCCAUUUAGAUCUUGCUGGUUCUUGUGGGUUUUAUCUCUUUUAUGUGUUUCCCCGUUUCGUCGUUUUUCGGUUCUCCUUUGCCUUUGUUUCCCCUUUUUUCUCUUUGGGGGUUGAGCUCUGAGGUUUUCAUACGGGGUUUCAUCUCUAGCCCACCCCAACGUGCUUGGGACAAAAAGGCUUUGUUGUUGUUGUUGUUGUUGUUUAUUAGGCAAAUGGUGAUGGAGUUUUUGUUGAUUGUAACUUUGUGCCUACAGAUUCUAAGAUUCAAUCAGUACUGCCACUGACGAAAACUGAAAGAAAGAAAAGGAUAAAAGAGAAGAUGGAUCUGAAGAAGAAAGAGAAGGAUAGUAACAAGGACAAAGAUGAUGAGGAUACCAAGGAUAAAGAUGAUGGGAAAGAAGAGGAUAGUAACGAGGACAGAGAUGAUGAGGAGACCGAGGAGAAAGAUGAUGGGAAUGUUGCCCCUCAAACCUAUUUCUUGCAGGGCAGGCAUAUCAACUUGAAUGUUAGGCCUAUCAAUUUUCUUGGACUAUCUACCCAUGUUAUCCACCAGAUAAAUGAUGGCCCAUGCGCCCUUAUUGCAGUCUGCAAUGUUCUAUUCUCAGGGGGACAUCUCUUUUGAACCACAUGAAACUGUGGUGUCAAUGGAGUAUCUACUUGGCCUUGUCCUCGCUCUUCUUGGAGGAAGUGUGAAAAUGCAGGACUAUUCUGAUGAAAGAAAAAGUCAGAUAUUGAAUGUGGUGAAGAGUCUGGCCGGAGGGUUUGAUAUGGAUGUUAUCUUCACCAGAACGGAUGGUUUUACAAUGACUCCAGAGUGGUUGCUUCUGGAUUGCUUAGAUCUCAACCUUCGACAUGGUUGGAUUGCUGCUAGGGAUUUGUUGACCGGACCCGAAGUAUCAUUUGAAAGUCUUACGUUGGCUUCUAAUGAACCUGGAUUUCCACAUGCGGAGGAGAUCAAGAAUUUUCUAAGGGGACCUCAACUUACUCCCAUUGGCUUGGUUUCGCUGCAAGAGGACUUUGUUGAGAAUGUUCCGUGCAUUCUGUUCUGGAACAAGCAUUACCAUACUAUAGUUAUGAUCAAUGGAGUAUUAAAUUCUCUAGUCACUGAUUCUAAUUAUUUAGAAACUCGUGUAGUUUGGCAGACGCUUGACGG
rnacentral:misc_RNA from 1 species